rnacentral:rRNA from 1 species
CCUACGGGUGGCAGCAGUGAGGAAUAUUGGUCAAUGGGCGCGAGCCUGAACCAGCCAAGUAGCGUGAAGGAUGACUGCCCUACGGGUUGUAAACUUCUUUUAUAAAGGAAUAAAGUGAUCCACGUGUGCCUUUCUGCAUGUACUUUACGAAUAAGGAUCGGCUAACUCCGUGCCAGCAGCCGCGGUAAUACGGAGGAGCCGAGCGUUAUCCGGAUUUAUUGGGUGUAAAGGGUGCGUAGGCGGAUGGAUAAGUUAGAGGUGAAAUGUCCGAGGUUAACGCGGGAACUGCCUUUGAUACUGUAGGUCUAGAGAGUACAUGAGGUAGGCGGAAUGUAUGGUGUAGCGGUGAAAUGCAUAGAGAUCAUACAGAACACCGAUUGCGAAGGCAGCUUGCC